GGGGGGGGGGGAGAGGAGGGGAUGUGGUAUGGAAUUGAACGAUUGAUUACAAUUGAGAAGACAGUGGAUUACAAAAUGAUAAAGAUAUCAACAUAAUCCAUAUUAUCCAGGAAAAUUAAGCCCAUGCAUGGAUAACAUACUAAAGAAACCAAAGACAGCAGAGGUAGCACAUUUAUUUUUUAAAGAAAAGGCCCAACCUGACUCAUGCAAUGCAAAUGAUAUUAUAACAAAAGAUGCAUCCAGCAGCAUUCAAAGUUUAGAACCAACAACACAUUGGUUAAAAAAGUACUAUGCCCAGACCAAAAUUUUCUGUUGGGAUUUUAACAUAAACAAGCUGCUGAUUGAGAUAAGUGUGGCCAUUCUUGCUUAGGGAACAAUGCCUGAAGUGCCUAAAAUACCAAGCACAAGAAGAAAAUAUAGCAAGUGCAAAAGGCAAGUUAAUCCAUCUUAAAUAUGCAUUUUGACCAUAUAUAAUUCCGAUAUUGAAUAGAUAUUUACAUUGUCACCAUUACGAAGUUGUCAAGGGAAACAAUAUCUUCAUCUUUAGCUAACACAAACCUACCAUGUGCAGUGUUUGCUAAACUAAUUCUUUUAAAGAGUUACAUUGCACAGGGAAAA
rnacentral:misc_RNA from 1 species